UACAGAGGAUGCAAGCGUUAUCCGGAAUGAUUGGGCGUAAAGCGUCUGUAGGUGGCUUUUCAAGUCCGCCGUCAAAUCCCAGGGCUCAACCCUGGACAGGCGGUGGAAACUGCCAAGCUGGAGUACGGUAGGGGCAGAGGGAAUUCCGGGUGUAGUGGUGAAAUGCGUAGAGAUCCGGAGGAACACCAGUGGCGAAGGCGACACGCUGGGCCGUACCUGACACUGAUGCGCGACAGCAUGGGGAGCAAACAGG
rnacentral:rRNA from 1 species